UACGUAGGGUCCGAGCGUUUGUCCGGAAUUACUGGGCGUAAAGAGCUCGUAGGUGGUUUGUCGCGUUGUUCGUGAAAACUCACAGCUCAACUGUGGGCGUGCGGGCGAUACGGGCAGACUAGAGUACUGCAGGGAGACUGGAAUUCCUGGUGAGCGGUGGAAUGCGCAGAUAUCAGGAGGAACACCGGUGGCGAAGGCGGGCCACUGGGC
rnacentral:rRNA from 1 species